rnacentral:rRNA from 1 species
AGAGUUUGAUCAUGGCUCAGAAUCAACGCUGGCGGCGUGCCUCAGACAUGCAAGUCGAACGAGAAAGUUCCCUUCGGGGGAUGAGUAAAGUGGCGCACGGGUGAGUAACACGUAGGUAAUCUACCUUCGGGUGGGGAAUAACCCAGGGAAACUUGGGCUAACACCGCAUAAUGCAGCGGCACCACAUGGUGACAGUUGUUAAAGCGGGGGAUUUUAGGACCUCGCGCCUGAAGAGGAGCCUGCGGCGGAUUAGCUAGUUGGUAGGGUAACGGCUUACCAAGGCGACGAUCCGUAACCGGCCUGAGAGGGCGGUCGGUCACACUGACACUGACAUACGGGUCAGACUCCUACGGGAGGCAGCAGUCGGGAAUUUUGGGCAAUGGGCGAAAGCCUGACCCAGCAACGCCGCGUGAAGGAUGAAAUCCCUCGGGAUGUAAACUUCGCAAGAUUGGGAAGAAUUAGUAGGGGUUAAUACCCUCUAUGAUGACGGUACCUUUUGUAAGCUCCGGCUAACUCCGUGCCAGCAGCGGCGGUAAUAC